UCAUAAUGAUGGUUACCCACAGGUUUCUGUUGAGCUCAGCAAGGAGAUGAUCAGAGGAAAAUCUUCAGUGUGAAUAUGUAAAAGUUCAUCAUCUUCCAGGGUGGCCAGAGCCAAAAACAAACACUCAGUUUUAGGCCAACAGGAUGCCAAGUGCUCUCCAUUUAAUGGCAACUAUCUUGAAGCCAUUUGAAACAGACGCUUGAGUGGGAAGACAACACCCUUAUGCCCUCCUAGACCACCAGGCUCCCAGUGCUCUACGGAGGAACAUCUUCUGCCAGAUUCAUGCCUUCUCUUCAGUUUGAGGCACAGAAGCAGUUGGCUUUUUUUUUUUUUUUUUUAAGUAGGUUUCAUGCCCAGCACAGAGCCCAGUGUGGAGCCUGAACCCAUGACCCUGAGAUCAAAACCCAAGCUGAGAUCAAGAGUCAGGGUUUUUCUACAUAUACUAGGAAUUCUCUGAUACCAGCUUAGAUAUCCUACAAUUCAACCCAAUUCUGACACCUUCUACCGGGAGAUAGCACCAGAUUCCACAGGCUGAGGGCUCAGUCCCACAAAGACCACCCCUGAGUUCAGAUGCCAACUGCAAGUCCAGGUUGUCACCUGUGUUUCUGACCCACUGGCUGGAAAUCAGAAGCCAUCAUCCCUCCUUGGGUUCAAUUAAUUUGCUAGAGUGGCUUACAGUUGGGAAACCAGUUUUCUGUUUGGAUCACCAGUUUAUUACAAAAGAUGGUAAAUACGAAUUAGGAGCCAGAUGAAGAGACACACAGAGCAAGAAGUUGACCUCUGCAGCACUCUCCUGCUCUUGGGGGAAUGUCAUCAGGAAGAGAAUCCAGGCUGAAAACACAACAGCGUGGCAAAGAGGGGACUGUCUGCUGCUCUCUGAGGACACCUGGGGUCCUGCCUCUCCCCCACUCCCCAUUUGAUCUUUAUAGUGUCAUCUCUCACUGUCCCCCACCUCUGUGCAUUUCCUUCCUGCUCACUUGCUCCUGCUGCCUUUUCCUAGCCUCCGCCCAAAUGUCAAGCUCCUCCAGAAGAUGUCUCCCCUGACCAUCAAUGAGCCAGAAUGGAUCUGUCCCACCUCUGGCUCUUGGAUUUCUCAGUCCCAGUGAUUGUCUCUGUUCUGUUCCAUUGGCACCUUCCACACAGAGCUUUAUGAAUUUCAGCUGGUAGCUACUGUGUAAAUUCUUUGAGGAUAAGCUGGCCUUAGGUGUCUCACAGCUCUACAUCCCCUCCUUAGCCACACCCCUUCACUAACACACACAUGUGCAUGUGUACAAUCACGCAUGCAUACAUGCAAUGCUGGCCCAACAGAGGGUACUCUGCUGAGGGCAACUGUAGCCGUUCCAUUAGGGAUUUGCCUCCCCCCAAACCCUCUGGUAUCGCUGUUGAGGCCCUGCUCAUAAGUGAACACAGAACGAAUAUCACUUUGGUAAGGAGCAACUGUCUUCCCUACUUUCAUCUCCUAUGUUGAACCAAUUUCUAGGGUUUCCACCUUCUCAGAGCCAGUGCUUCCUGU